AGAACGAACGCUGGCGGCGUGGAUAGGACAUGCAAGUCGCACGGGAUCUUGAUUGUAGCAAUACAGUUAAGGUUCAGUGGCGUAAGGGUGCGUAACACGUGGGCAAUCUGCCGGGAAGCGGGGGAUAGCUCGCCGAAAGGCGAAUUAAUACCGCAUGUGGUUAGUGACGACCUCUUCACGAGACCAAAGCCGGGGACCGAGCAAUCGGCCUGGCGCUUCCUGAUGAGCCCGCGGCCUAUCAGCUAGUUGGUGAGGUAACGGCUCACCAAGGCGAUGACGGGUAGCUGGUCUGAGAGGACGACCAGCCACACUGGAACUGAGACACGGUCAGACACCGUACGGGUGGCAGCAGUCGAGAUUUUCUCAAUGGGCAACCUGAAGGAGCGACGCCGCGUGGAGAUGAAGGUCUUCGGAUUGUAACUCUGUCAGUUCGGAACAAGGUGCAAGUGGUUAACUGCCGAUGCAUUGAUAGUACCGGAAGAGGAA
rnacentral:rRNA from 1 species